rnacentral:rRNA from 1 species
UACGUAGGGUGCUAGCGUUGUUCGGAAUCAUUGGGCGUAAAGCGAGUGCAGGCUGUUAGUUAAGUCGGGUGUGAAAUCCCUGGCUCAACCGAGGAAGUGCAUCCGAAACUAAUUAGCUAGAGAAUGGUAGAGGAAGGUGGAAUUCCAAGUGUAGAGGUGAAAUUCGUAGAUAUUUGGAGGAAUACCGGAGGCGAAGGCGGCCUCUGGACCAUUUCUGACGCUGAGACUCGAAAGCGUGGG